rnacentral:rRNA from 1 species
CCUACGGGAGGCAGCAGUGGGGAAUAUUGCACAAUGGGGGAAACCCUGAUGCAGCGACGCCGCGUGAGUGAAGAAGUAAUUCGGUAUGUAAAGCUCUAUCAGCAGGGAAGAAAAUGACGGUACCUGAGUAAGAAGCCCCGGCUAACUACGUGCCAGCAGCCGCGGUAAUACGUAGGGGGCAAGCGUUAUCCGGAUUUACUGGGUGUAAAGGGAGCGUAGACGGCAGUGCAAGUCUGUAGUGAAAGGCGGGGGCUCAACCCCCGGACUGCUCUGGAAACUGUAAGGCUGGAGUGCAGGAGAGGUAAGUGGAAUUCCUAGUGUAGCGGUGAAAUGCGUAGAUAGUAGGAGGAACACCAGUGGCGAAGGCGGCUUACUGGACUGUAACUGACGUUGAGGCUCGAAAGCGUGGGGAGCAAACAGGAUUAGAUACCCGAGUAGUC